AUAAAGGUAGCACUACAAUCAUAUCAUGACUCAUGGAAAACAUUUUCCUUUCGAGCUUUUCUUUGCGAAUGCUAUAGAUAGUGGAUAGAGUAAAUGACCUGCACUAUGACAAAUGUUAUAGAGAAUAUGAUACAUGAAUCAUCCUAUGUAAAAUAACAAUCGUUUCAGAUAGGGAUACGAACACAGCGAGAUGGGUAAAAUGAUUGCAUUUCACGAUGCAGAAAACAACUUCCUUCAAAUAAAGAAUACUGUUGACGGCGGGAACAGGCAUAACAUGAUGGAAAGUUGUAAUGCAUUUCACCCAGCCUGUUUUUACUCGAUUCAUACCCGAAAGUAAAAUGACUAAUGUAAAGAACGGCAAAGAAAAAUGUUUGAGCGACGGGGAAGUAAGUUGGAUAAAAGUACGUGAUAUACGUGUAGCUUGUUUCAUCGCCGAUGUAGCGUUGGCAAUAGGAAUUGGUAACCACAUACUUUUUAUGAAUAUUGAAACAAAAAAAGAAAGUUACUACCGGGCGGUAGACAAAGAUAGUGGCGAAGGCGUGUCCUGUCUCGCUGGGCAUAGAAAUUUUAGUAUUUUUGGAUUUGCUGAAAACUGCUUCAAUCCCAGAAUUUUUAUCAUUGGAUAUCCGGAAAUGUCAAUUUUGUAUGUUUUGGAAG